AGCUUAUUUUGUUUUUCCUUAAUUGAGAUGGAUACUUGAACCUGGGUUUGCAUGUGACAUCCACCUUAGUUAUUCCUCAUUACAAAUUCAUUCUGUAGUAAGACUAAGCUUAAAUAAAUAUAUGCGUAUAAUCGGGCAUUUUAUAGACACUCCAUGUUUAAAAGAUUCAUUUCUGGGGGACAGUCUUAUGCCAUUCUAUUAAGUCGUUUGGUCUCUGUUGCAUAUUUGCUUUUCAACAAAAGAAAAUGUGGCUGAACAGUGAUGAACAACCUGUAGUCAAAAACGUAUUGUGGAGUAUUGGUAGUAACAACUCAUAUGAAAAAUAUUAUUGUCCAUUGAGUUUUAUUUCCAAGAGGCAUGAGUUUCUACUGACAAUACAUUUAGAAAAAGAGCUGCCACCUAGAUACAAGUAUAAUAAUCCAAUUACUUAGAUUAAUGAUGGAUGUUUGUUGAUCAGCCAGAUUAGCCCAUUCUUUAUUUGAAGCAGCAUGUUGGAGCUGGUGAUGAUCUAGCUGUUUGUGUUUUAGCCUUACAUUGAUAAUAGAUGUGUGUGUGGACCCUUCCUGUUUCUAUGCUUUAUAUGAACCUUUUAGUGUCUAAGUCAUUUAAAUGUUUCUGCUGGGUAAUAUUCAUUUUGUCCAAGAACAAUGCAUUUGAAAACUGUGAUAAUUAAAUUUGAAUUUAGUUUUGGCCCAGAGCAAUGUAUUUGUAGGCUGUGAUAAUUAAAGAAGAAAAUAUAGAAUAAUUUAGGAACGGUUGGAUUAGUUACGUGGUUUUCCUGGCAGCCAAAGUAUUUAUGCAUGUCCACUGGCAUUUUUCUGUGUAAUGAUCACUCUACCAAACAAAUAGUAAGUAGAAAAGAGGAUCUUUGAUACUGUAACAAUAACAAAACUGCUGCAAUGAAUUCCAUUUUACAUUUACAGUUACCAUUUAACAAACAUACAAUUUAAAUUGCAAUGAAUUUUCCCCCGCAGACAAAUCUACAUUUGUUUACUAAAUUAUUAGACUUUUACUUAUUUUUAACAAGAAACCUUCAAAGUUUUUUUUCACACCAAUCCUGAUAAUUCCUGACAAGGUAGACUAGGGUACAAUUAUCCACAGCUGGUGUCUGAAGUUACUAGAUUCUCCAAUAUGAAUGUUUGUAAUGCCUUUCAAGUGUGAUUCCUCCUCCAAGCUUUCAAUUUACUUUCAAUUACUGUUAAGCUGACUCGGCAGCAUUCCUAGCAAUUUAAUAAUGGACCUUUAGGUGGUCCCUCCAACUAACCGGCAGGAUGACUUUUUGUAAUCAAACAGGAUAACUGAAGUAAGUCCUACUUUGGUUUUAAUUUUAGAUGUCUAAAUCAAACAUACUGUAUUGUUUUCAGAUUUAUGGCUUUUACUAUUUUUGUCUCAGAUACAUGCUUUUUAAAAUAUCUGAGAUAGUUCUGUGUUUCUGUUAACAUUGGAAAAGGAUUUAGCUUAAAUUAUCGAUACUGUUGGUUGUUUUUGAGGUUUCUGUGCUGUUCGACACCCCAUUAGGGGUUAGGCAGGAGAGCCAUGACCACUGGGAGCCACAUCUACUUAUUACUUUGGAAAAACUGGACUCUUCGCAAAAGACAAAAGCUUCGGUUCUUUGUUGAGAUAACUUGGCCGUUGGUUCUGUUUUUUGGAUUGGUGUGGUUGAGAGAGGCUAACCCACUAUACCGACAACAUGAAUGUCACUUUCCCAACAAAGCUAUGCCCUCUGCUGGAAUCCUGCCUUGGAUACAGGGGAUGUUCUGCAAUGUUAACAACCCCUGCUUCAGAUACCCAACACGUGGCGAGUCUCCUGGUGUUGUCUCCAACUAUAACGG